GAUGAACGCUGGCGGCGUGCCUCAAACAUGCAAGUCGAGCGGGGCUAUGUAAUAUCGCAAGGUAGAACAUAGCCUAGCGGCGAACGGGUGAGUAACACGUGGGUAACCUGCCUGGAAGACAGGGAUAACGAUUCGAAAGGGUCGCUAAUACCUGAUAAUAUCCUUUCAUCGCAUGGGUGAUAGGAAGAAAGGGGAAACCCGCUUUCAGAUGGGCCCGCGUCCCAUCAGCUAGUUGGUAAGGUAAAGGCUUACCAAGGCGACGACGGGUAGCCGGUCUGAGAGGAUGUACGGCCACACUGGGACUGAGAUACGGCCCAGACUCCUACGGGAGGCAGCAGUUGGGAAUCUUAGGCAAUGGACGAAAGUCUGACCUAGCGACGCCGCGUGAGGGAAGAAGGCCUUCGGGUUGUAAACCUCUGUCAUGGGGGAAGAAGUAAGUGACGGUACCCCAAGAGGAAGCCCCUGCUAACUACGUG
rnacentral:rRNA from 1 species